CAAAUCAGUGUGGGAGAGAGUGGAGAGGGUGGAGAGAGAGUGUGUGGAUGCGAAAGCAUACAUGCACAUUUCCCACUUUCAAUUCCCCUCCCCGUUUUACGCUUGUAGAGUUUGACAGAGUUAUUGUGACACAUUAACGUAUA
rnacentral:misc_RNA from 1 species